CCUACACUAGUCAAGGCAGAAAAGUCCCAGAAUGGAGGAAAGAGCACUACAAGUUCUCACAAAGACAACAAUCUGAGCCUCUCAUUGCCUCUUCUUUGGGGAGAAAGUAAGCAGAAGAGACAAGAAUGAGCAUGGCAGGAAACUUAAUUAAUCCGAGUCAACAGCCAUGCUGCAGGAAGAGGAAACACUCUGGGUGUGCUGUGAACAUGGUGCUAAGAUUACGAAAAUGUUCUCAAGGGGUUUGGCAAUGUCUAGCCUGUCCCUAGGAAACCUGAAGCUAAACCAAACUCUGCUAUCAAAUUCAAGCCAUGGCCAAGAGUAAAUCAAAGGAACAUAA